GAUGAACGCUGGCGGCGUGCCUAAUACAUGCAAGUCGAGCGAACGGACGAGAAGCUUGCUUCUCUGAUGUUAGCGGCGGACGGGUGAGUAACACGUGGAUAACCUACCUAUAAGACUGGGAUAACUUCGGGAAACCGGAGCUAAUACCGGAUAAUAUUUUGAACCGCAUGGUUCAAAAGUGAAAGACGGUCUUGCUGUCACUUAUAGAUGGAUCCGCGCUGCAUUAGCUAGUUGGUAAGGUAACGGCUUACCAAGGCAACGAUGCAUAGCCGACCUGAGAGGGUGAUCGGCCACACUGGAACUGAGACACGGUCCAGACUCCUACGGGAGGCAGCAGUAGGGAAUCUUCCGCAAUGGGCGAAAGCCUGACGGAGCAACGCCGCGUGAGUGAUGAAGGUCUUCGGAUCGUAAAACUCUGUUAUUCGGGAAGAACAUAUGUGUAAGUAACUGUGCACAUCUUGACGGUACCUAUUCAGAAAGCCACGGCUAACUACGUG
rnacentral:rRNA from 1 species